AAAUUACUUCUUUCAAGAACGAGUUCAUGUCCUUUGCAGGGACAUGGAUGAAGCUGGAAGGCACCAUUCUCAGCAAACUAACACAGGAACAGAAAACCAAACACCGCAUGUUUUCACUCAUAAAU
rnacentral:lncRNA from 1 species